GAUUGUUAUAUAAAGUCUAGCCUGCCCACUGAUUUGUUUUAAAGGGCCGCGGUAUAUUGACCGUGCGAAGGUAGCAUAAUCAUUAGUCUUUUAAUUGGAGGCUUGUAUGAAUGGUUGGACAAAAAGUAAGCUGUCUCGAUUAUAAUAAUUGAACUUAACUUUUAAGUGAAAAGGCUUAAAUGUUUCAGGGGGACGAUAAGACCCUAUAAAGCUUGACAAUAACUUCGUUAUAUUAUAAAUUGUUAGUAUAACUUGAUUUUAACGGGGGUUUGUUUCGUUGGGGCGACGGGAAUAUAAUAAAUAACUGUUCUUUUAAAUAUAAUUACAAAAAUGUUUGGUAAAUAAUUGAUCCUCUAUUAGAGAUUAAAAGAUUAAGUUACUUUAGGGAUAACAGCGUAAUCUUCUUUGAGAGUCCACAUCGACAAGAAGGUUUGCGACCUCGAUGUUGAAUUAAGGUAUCCUUAUAAUGCAGCAGUUAUAAAGGAGGGUCUGUUCGACCUUUA
rnacentral:rRNA from 1 species